ensembl:snRNA LOC120094879 U7 small nuclear RNA
UAAAAUUUCUCUUUUACAAUUUUAUCUAGAAGGUUUUCUGAUUUGGUCAGAAAAUCUAA